AACGCUGGCGGCGUGCCUAAUACAUGCAAGUCGAACGCACAGCGAAAGGUGCUUGCACCUUUCAAGUGAGUGGCGAACGGGUGAGUAACACGUGGAUAACCUACCUCAAGGUUGGGGAUAACAUUUGGAAACAGAUGCUAAUACCGAAUAAAACUUCGUAUCGCAUGAUACAAGGUUAAAAGGCGCUACGGCGUCACCUAGAGAUGGAUCCGCGGUGCAUUAGUUAGUUGGUGGGGUAAAGGCCUACCAAGACAAUGAUGCAUAGCCGAGUUGAGAGACUGAUCGGCCACAUUGGGACUGAGACACGGCCCAAACUCCUACGGGAGGCUGCAGUAGGGAAUCUUCCACAAUGGGCGAAAGCCUGAUGGAGCAACGCCGCGUGUGUGAUGAAGGCUUUCGGGUCGUAAAGCACUGUUGUAUGGGAAGAACAGCUAGAGUAGGGAAUGACUUUAGUUUGACGGUACCAUACCAGAAAGGGACGGCUAAAUACGUGCCAGCAGCCGCGGUAAUACGUAUGUCCCGAGCGUUAUCCGGAUUUAUUGGGCGUAAAGCGAGCGCAGACGGUUGAUUAAGUCUGAUGUGAAAGCCCGGAGCUCAACUCCGGAAAGGCAUUGGAAACUGGUCAACUUGAGUGCAGUAGAGGUAAGUGGAACUCCAUGUGUAGCGGUGGAAUGCGUAGAUAUAUGGAAGAACACCAGCGGCGAAGGCGGCUUACUGGACUGUAACUGACGUUGAGGCUCGAAAGUGUGGGUAGCAAACAGGAUUAGAUACCCUGGUAGUCCACACCGUAAACGAUGAACACUAGGUGUUAGGAGGUUUCCGCCUCUUA
rnacentral:rRNA from 1 species